rnacentral:rRNA from 1 species
UACGUAGGGUGCAAGCGUUAUCCGGAAUUAUUGGGCGUAAAGAGCCCGUAGGCGGUUUGUCGCGUCUGCUGUGAAAACUGGAGGCUCAACCUCCAGCCUGCAGUGGGUACGGGCAGACUAGAGUGCGGUAGGGGAGAUUGGAAUUCCUGGUGUAGCGGUGGAAUGCGCAGAUAUCAGGAGGAACACCGAUGGCGAAGGCAGAUCUCUGGGCCGUAACUGACGCUGAGGAGCGAAAGCAUGGGAGCGAACAGG